rnacentral:SRP_RNA from 1 species
CGGUCGGAACAGGCGGCACCAAGUUUCGAACCUGGUCAGGUCCGGAAGGAAGCAGCCAUAAGGAACCGCUGAUGCGCGCCUGUUUCGUCCGGGAUACU